UACGUAGGUGGCGAGCGUUAUCCGGAAUGAUUGGGCGUAAAGGGUGCGCAGGCGGUCCUGCAAGUCUGGAGUGAAACGCAUGAGCUCAACUCAUGCAUGGCUUUGGAAACUGGAGGACUGGAGAGCAGGAGAGGGCGGUGGAACUCCAUGUGUAGCGGUAAAAUGCGUAGAUAUAUGGAAGAACACCAGUGGCGAAGGCGGCCGCCUGGCCUGUUGCUGACGCUGAGGCACGAAAGCGUGGGGAGCAAAUA
rnacentral:rRNA from 1 species